rnacentral:rRNA from 1 species
UACGGAGGGUGCAAGCGUUGUUCGGAAUUAUUGGGCGUAAAGCGCGUGUAGGCGGCCGUGCAAGUCGGGUGUGAAAGCCCUCGGCUCAACCGAGGAAGUGCGCCCGAAACUGCAUGGCUUGAGUACCGGAGAGGGUGGCGGAAUUCCCCAAGUAGAGGUGAAAUUCGUAGAUAUGGGGAGGAACACCGGUGGCGAAGGCGGCCACCUGGACGGAUACUGACGCUGG